GUAUACGUCGAUAGGCCUAUACAAGACCUAUAAGGGACCUAUACGAGACCUAUACUACACUAUAUGUUAAAAACAAUGUAAUAUUUCUACGAUCGAAUAUUUUUAAAGGCCGAUCUUGAAAACGGUAAAAUAUUUUUAUAAAAAAAUAAAACUUUUCUUAAAAAACAACUCAAAUUACCCCACCAAAACACCCAUUUUUUUACUCAAAAAACAUCACCCUCAAAAAACAAUCAAAUUACCAUACCAAAACAUCCAUUUUUCAACUAAAAAAAACCCAACGAGGGGUCCUAAUAUUAAUUAUUUAAAAUAAAAAAACUUGUUUUUGUAUAAAAGUUUGCUAAAACGAUUAAUAUUGUAUAAAAUGUUUGUUAAAAAAAAAACCCCUUCAAGACGCCCAGUAUAGGUCUAUACGAGGCAUAUAAGGGGCAAAUGGUCAUAUAUGAGGCCUAUACGAAGGGUCCUAUACGCCCAGUAUAGGCCUAUACGAGGCAAAGGGUGUCUAAAUAAGCAGAUAAGGUGUCUGGAUAGUUUGAGCCUUUGGUAA
rnacentral:lncRNA from 1 species